rnacentral:rRNA from 1 species
AGAGUUUGAUCCUGGCUCAGAAUCAACGCUGGCGGCGUGCCUAACACAUGCAAGUCGCACGAGAAAGGGACUUCGGUCCUGAGUACAGUGGCGCACGGGUGAGUAACACGUGAAUCAUCUACCUUCGAGUGGGGAAUAACUGAGAGAAAUCUUAGCUAAUACCGCAUAAUACCUACGGGUCAAAGCAGCAAUGCGCUUGAAGAGGAGUUCGCGGCAGAUUAGUUAGUUGGCGGGGUAACGGCCCACCAAGACGAUGAUCUGUAUCCGGCCUGAGAGGGCGCACGGACACACUGGAACUGAAACACGGUCCAGACUCCUACGGGAGGCAGCAGUGGGGAAUUUUGCGCAAUGGGGGAAACCCUGACGCAGCAACGCCGCGUGGAGGAUGAAAUCCCUUGGGAUGUAAACUCCUUUCGAUAGGGAAGAUAAUGACGGUACCUAUAGAAGAAGCCCCGGCUAACUUCGUGCCAGCAGCCGCGGUAAUACGAGGGGGGCAAGCGUUGUUCGGAAUUAUUGGGCGUAAAGGGUGCGUAGGCGGUUUGACAAGUCUUAUGUGAAAUCUUCGGGCUCAACCCGAAGUCUGCAUGGGAAACUGUCGGGCUUGAGUAUGGGAGAGGUGAGUGGAAUUUCCGGUGUAGCGGUGAAAUGCGUAGAUAUCGGAAGGAACACCUGUGGCGAAAGCGGCUCACUGGACCAUAACUGACGCUGAUGCACGAAAGCUAGGGGAGCAAACAGGAUUAGAUACCCUGGUAGUCC